AAGUCGUAACAAGGUUUCCGUAGGUGAACCUGCGGAAGGAUCAUUACCAAAUCCAAAAAAAACUUUCUAUCAACACCCCAAUGUGAACUGAGAAUGGUUUCGUCCCUCCGAAUUCUUCUCUUCUUCGGAAGAAAGGGAGGAGGAGGGAUGUUCAAACACAUUUUUUUUAACCCCUUUUCAACCAUUAAAAACCCAUUUUUUUAAUGCUGAAAGCAAAACAAAAAAUACGAAACAUGAGACAACUUUUAACGGUGGAUCUCUUGGCUCGU
rnacentral:misc_RNA from 1 species